GUCCAGACUCCUACGGGAGGCAGCAGUGGGGAAUAUUGCACAAUGGGGGAAACCCUGAUGCAGCGACGCCGCGUGAGUGAAGAAGUAAUUCGUUAUGUAAAGCUCUAUCAGCAGGGAAGAAACAGACGGUACCUGAGGAAUAAGCCACGGCUAACUACGUGCCAGCAGCCGCGGUAAUACGUAGGUGGCAAGCGUUAUCCGGAUUUACUGGGUGUAAAGGGCGUGUAGGCGGGGACGCAAGUCAGAUGUGAAAACCACGGGCUCAAACUGUGGCCUGCAUUUGAAACUGUGUUUCUUGAGUACUGGAGAGGCAGACGGAAUUCCUAGUGUAGCGGUGAAAUGCGUAGAUAUUAGGAGGAACACCAGUGGCGAAGGCGGUCUGCUGGACAGCAACUGACGCUGAGGCGCGAAAGCGUGGGGAGCAAACAGGAUUAGAUACCCGUGUAAC
rnacentral:rRNA from 1 species